AUGCUGAAUAAAAACAGGAAGGAGAAAGAAUCACCAAAAGCAGGGAAGAGUGGAAAAAGUUCAAAAGAAGGACAAGACACAGUGGAAUCAGAGCAAAUUUCCAUCAGGACAAACAGCCUUGUUGCUGUCCCCGUCUACAGUAUCUGCUAAAUAAAAGUACCAGCCUCUCAGCCCAUAGUGAAGAAAGACAAACGGCAAAAUUCUUCAAGGUUUAGUGCAAGCAAUAAUAGAGAACUUCAAAAACUACCAUCCUUAAAAGAUUCGUUGUCACCAGCACUUUGUGAAGGUUCCUGGGGUGGCCUGCAGCAGCUUUUCCCGCAGCUCCCUCACACUGCCACCUUAUGA
rnacentral:lncRNA from 1 species